rnacentral:rRNA from 1 species
UACAACAUAGGAAAUCUGCCUUAGGGUGGGGGACAACAGAGGGAAACUUCUGCUAAUACCCCAUAUGAGCUUGGUUGAAAUACCAAUCUUGAAAGUUCCGGCGCCCUAAGAUGAGCCUGUGCCUGAUUAGCUAGUUGGUGGUGUAAUGGACUACCAGGGCGACGAUCAGUAGCUGGUUUGAGAGGAUGAUCAGCCACAAUGGGACUGAGACACGGCCCAUACUCCUACGGAAGGCAGCAG